CAGUAGCCGCGGUAAUACGUAGGGUGCAAGCGUUAAUCGGAAUUACUGGGCGUAAAGCGUGCGCAGGCGGUUGUGCAAGACAGAUGUGAAAUCCCCGAGCUUAACUUGGGAACUGCAUUUGUGACUGCACGGCUAGAGUGUGUCAGAGGGGGGUAGAAUUCCACGUGUAGCAGUGAAAUGCGUAGAUAUGUGGAGGAGUACCGAUGGCGAAGGCAGCCCCCUGGGAUAACACUGACGCUCAUGCACGAAAGCGUGGGGAGCAAACAGGAUUAGAGACCCCUGUAGUCCCUGUCUCUUAUAC
rnacentral:rRNA from 1 species